UUCUGCGGGUAGUAGGAUGCUCUGACCUGUUGCAAUUCAGCAACACAAGAGGCUUGAGCUCCUCUUGAGAAGUCGGUGCAGCAGGGUUCGGAGAGAGAGCAAGAAAGAGAGAUAGUCGGCCUCGAGAAUGAUUCGAGGAGAUCGAGUAUGUUCGAUCCCGUUGCCGACUGAUUUGGGAGAAAUCUCAGACUCGGGUACAAUGCUGGAAAUGCGGCAAGGUUCGCCGCGGAGACCGAGUAUUUUUGGUCUCUAUUUCCUGAGUAUCGUUCCGGAGAUCUGGAUCUGGCGGAAUCAGGAGAUGGAAUCCUCUUUGCUAGGAUUUCGUCGCUAUUUAUACGCUUAGAUCUGCGGCGAAUUAUUUGGCGGCUCGAUAACGGUAUACGUACUUGCCGACGGCGGCAUUCGGCUGAAUCCGUCGGCCGUUGGGCGCGCUCGGCGGUACGUAUACGUAUAUAGUACCUUGAGCCGUGUAAAAUCAAAGUCGCUUUUCGGUGAUUAUAAUGAGAAAAAUUAGAGGGCGCAUAUGCGCCUGCUGCGCUGCCCGGCCGGUGUUCGCCGGGCGCACUUCCGACAUUCGGUCGGGAACGAUGGGAGGGUGCACCGUUACAGUACUUAUAAGAUAAUGACUUGUUAAAAUCUGGCGCACAAUGUUUAUAGCAAUUAUGACUUUUUCUUGACGACAUGAAAUGUAUAUAUCUAUUUUGUUUUGCUUAUUUUACACUGUAUAUCGACACAAAAAUAGUUUUAUUGCCAUUAUUGCUAGUUUACUUAAUCACCGUGUCUUUUGUGGUGCGUGUGCUGAUGCUGAGCUAUCUUGUCCGGCGGGCACCGGAAUAGGAUAUUGAUUUUUCGGAUGGUGCUUUGUACCCAUGAUAAUUUGUCUUUUGAUGUUGAUUUAACCACAUGCUGAAGAUGGUCCGAACGUAGAACCGAAACGUACUAAUAAAUUAAAUAAUUUAUCAUUAUUUGUUUGUGUAUCAAUUACCACGCCUGGCUCUUAAUUGGCUCUGUUUUCCGCAUAUUAUAGAAAUGUAUAUUACUACAUAUAAAAAAAUUAAAAAAUAGUAUGUUAAUAAUAGAAAAUAAUUAAUUAAUUUAUCGAUUUUUUGUUAACAUAUAAGGAUUGAAAUCUCGAAUUUUUAAUUUUUAGUUGAAUCAUAAGUAAAGAAUCUACAUAAUUAAUAUAAAAAAUUCGACUGAAUGAAAUGGACUCAAAUUAUAAGAAUUGAUAGUUUAUAGUUUUAUUUAUUAUUACAAGUUUUUCUAUAUAUAACCAUAAGUAAUGAAAAAUAAUAUAUAUCUGCUAGAACAUAUAAUGUGUAGGGGUUGAGCAUGUUCUAUUUUAUAGCAACAUGUCUCGUCUAUACUAUCAUCAAUGUUAAUAAGCUAUAUUAUAUUUAUGUACAAUCAUUGAAUAAAGGGUAAAGAAAGAAA